rnacentral:rRNA from 1 species
AAGUAAAAUGAUACAUGUCGUGUAUUAUUCUAAAAUUGGGGUACCACCCUCAAAAUCUAAAAAGUAUUAAUGAUUGAUAGUGAACAAGUACCGUAAGGGAAUGGUGAAAAAGAAUUUUCGAAGCUGAAAAGAACUUGAAAUUUAAUGUUUUUAAUCAGUUGUAGCUUAUUGUAAAGCGACAGCGUUCCUUUUGCAUAAUGAAUCAAUGAGUUUAUAUUAAUGGCAAGCUUAAACAAUAAUAAGUGUAGGCUAAAAGAAAUUAAGUUUUAAAUUGCGU